rnacentral:rRNA from 1 species
UACGUAGGGACCAAGCGUUGUUCGGAUUUACUGGGCGUAAAGGGCGCGGUAAGUCACUUGUGAAAUCUCUGAGCUUAACUCAGAACGGCCAAGUGAUACUGCAGUGCUAGAGUGUGGAAGGGGCAAUCGGAAUUCUUGGUGUAGCGGUGAAAUGCGUAGAUAUCAAGAGGAACACCUGAGGUGAAGACGGGUUGCUGGGCCAACACUGACGCUGAGGCGCGAAAGCCAGGGGAGCAAACGGG